CAGCAGCCGCGGGAAUACGUAGGGUGCAAGCGUUAAUCGGAAUUACUGGGCGUAAAGCGUGCGCAGGCGGUUAUAUAAGACAGAUGUGAAAUCCCCGGGCUCAACCUGGGACCUGCCUUUGUGACUGUAUAGCUAGAGUACGGUAGAGGGGGAUGGAAUUCCGCGUGUAGCAGUGAAAUGCGUAGAUGUGCGGAGGAACACCGAUGGCGAAGGCAAUCCCCUGGACCUGUACUGACGCUCAUGCACGAAAGCGUGGGGAGUAAACAGGAUUAGAUACCCCCGUAGUCCCUGUCUCUUAUAC
rnacentral:rRNA from 1 species